AUUGAACGCUGGCGGCAGGCCUAACACAUGCAAGUCGAGCGGAUGAAGGGAGCUUGCUCCUGGAUUCAGCGGCGGACGGGUGAGUAAUGCCUAGGAAUCUGCCUGGUAGUGGGGGAUAACGUCCGGAAACGGGCGCUAAUACCGCAUACGUCCUGAGGGAGAAAGUGGGGGAUCUUCGGACCUCACGCUAUCAGAUGAGCCUAGGUCGGAUUAGCUAGUUGGUUGGGUAAAGGCCUACCAAGGCGACGAUCCGUAACUGGUCUGAGAGGAUGAUCAGUCACACUGGAACUGAGACACGGUCCAGACUCCUACGGGAGGCAGCAGUGGGGAAUAUUGGACAAUGGGCGAAAGCCUGAUCCAGCCAUGCCGCGUGAGUGAAGAAGGUCUUCGGAUUGUAAAGCUCUUUAAGUUGGGAGGAAGGGCAGUAAGUUAAUACCUUGCUGUUUUGACGUUACCAACAGAAUAAGCACCGGCUAACUACGUG
rnacentral:rRNA from 1 species